CGGAGGGUGCAAACGUUGUUCGGAAUCACUGGGCAUAAAGCGCACGUAGGCGGUCCGCUAAGUCAGAUGUGAAAUCCCCCGGCUCAACCGGGGAACUGCACCUGAUACUGGCGGGCUCGAGGACGGUAGGGGUGAGUGGAACUCCAGGUGGAGCGGUGAAAUGCGUAGAUAUCUGGAGGAACACCGGUGGCGAAAGCGGCUCACUGGACCGUCUCUGACGCUGAGGUGCGAAAGCUAGGGUAGCAAACGGGAUUAGAUACCCCGGUAGUCCUAGCCGUAAACGAUGGGUACUAGGCAAUGGGGUUACCUAUGGACUUCCUUGCCGGAGCAAAUGUAUUAAGUACCCCGCCUGGGGAGUACGCUCGCAAGGGUG
rnacentral:rRNA from 1 species